rnacentral:rRNA from 1 species
AACAGGGAUUGCCCUAGUAACGGCGAGUGAAGCGGCAACAGCUCAAAUUUGAAAGCUGGCCUUCGGGUCCGCGUUGUAAUUUGUAGAGGAUGCUUUUGGUGCGGUUCCUUCCGAGUUCCCUGGAACGGGACGCCUUAGAGGGUGAGAGCCCCGUACGGUUGGACGCCAAUCCUUUGUAAAGCUCCUUCGACGAGUCGAGUAGUUUGGGAAUGCUGCUCAAAAUGGGAGGUAAAUGCCUUCUAAAGCUAAAUACCGGCCAGAGACCGAUAGCGCACAAGUAGAGUGAUCGAAAGAUGAAAAGCACUUUGAAAAGAGGGUUAAAUAGCACGUGAAAUUGUUGAAAGGGAAGCGUUUAUGACCAGACUUUUUCCGGGCGGAUCAUCAGGGGUUCUCCCCUGUGCACUUCGCCCGGUGGAGGCCAGCAUCGGUUUUCGCGGGGGGAUAAAAGGUUGGGGAACGUGGCUCCCUCGGGAGUGUUAUAGCCCCUUCCAUAAUACCCUCGCGGGGACCGAGGUCCGCGCUUCGGCAAGGAUGCUGGCGUAAUGGUCAUCAACGACCCGUCUUGAAACACGGACCAAGGAGUCGAACAUUUGUGCGAGUGUUUGGGUGUUAAACCCUCACGCGUAAUGAAAGUGAACGGAGGUCAGAGCCGCAAGGUGCAUGAUCGACCGAUCCUGAUGUUUUCGGAUGGAUUUGAGUAAGAGCAUAACUGUUCGGACCCGAAAGAUGGUGAACUAUGCGUGGAUAGGGUGAAGCCAGAGGAAACUCUGGUGGAGGCUCGCAGCGGUUCUGACGUGCAAAUCGAUCGUCAAAUCUGCGCAUGGGGGCGAAAGACUAAUCGAACCAUC